UAGGGAAUCUUCGGCAAUGGACGAAAGUCUGACCGAGCAACGCCGCGUGAGUGAAGAAGGUUUUCGGAUCGUAAAACUCUGUUGUUAGAGAAGAACAAGGACGUUAGUAACUGAACGUCCCCUGACGGAAUCUAACCAGAAAGCCACGGCUAACUACGUGCCAGCAGCCGCGGUAAUACGUAGGUGGCAAGCGUUGUCCGGAUUUAUUGGGCGUAAAGCGAGCGCAGGCGGUUUCUUAAGUCUGAUGUGAAAGCCCCCGGCUCAACCGGGGAGGGUCAUUGGAAACUGGGAGACUUGAGUGCAGAAGAGGAGAGUGGAAUUCCAUGUGUAGCGGUGAAAUGCGUAGAUAUAUGGAGGAACACCAGUGGCGAAGGCGGCUCUCUGGUCUGUAACCGACGCUGAGGCUCGAAAGCGUGGGGAGCAAACAGG
rnacentral:rRNA from 1 species